UCUCUCUCUCCAGCAGGAGCUCCAGUAGUUAGUCUCUCUCUCUCUCCAGCAGAAGCUGCAGUAGUUAGUCUCUCUCUCCAGCAGGAGCUCCAGUAGUUAGUCUCUCUCUCUCUCCAGCAGAAGCUCCAGUAGUUAGUUGUUUUCUCCAGCAGGAGCUCCAGUCGGCGCUUUUCCCGGUAUCAGUAGCCCCCUCCAGCUUUUCCUCCUCACUCCCAGCUCCAGCUCCGUCAUGGCGACAGUAGUGCAGCCUCUCAGCCUGGAACGAGAUGUGGCGAGGGCGAUCGAGCUGUUGGAGAAGCUGCAGGAAUCAGGAGAUGUUCCUGGCCACAAGCUGCAGUCACUGAAGAAGGUUCUGCAGAGUGAGUUCUGUACAGCCAUCCGAGAGGUCUAUCAGUACAUGCAUGAGACAAUAACAGUGAACGGCUGUCCGGAGUAUCAGGCUCGAGCCACAGCAAAGGCGACGGUGGCAGCUUUCGCCGCGAGUGAAGGCCACUCCCACCCGCGAGUGGUGGAAUUACCGAAAACUGAUGAAGGGCUGGGCUUCAACGUGAUGGGCGGGAAAGAGCAAAACUCCCCAAUCUACAUCUCCCGCAUCAUCCCAGGGGGCGUGGCCGAGAGACACGGGGGCUUAAAACGGGGCGAUCAGCUACUGUCUGUCAACGGAGUGAGUGUGGAAGGCGAGCACCAUGAGAAGGCAGUGGAGCUGCUGAAGGCGGCUGAGGGCAGCGUGAAGCUGGUGGUGCGCUACACACCCAAAGUGCUGGAGGAGAUGGAGGCUCGCUUUGAGAAGCUCCGCUCGGCCCGACGCCGCCAACAGCAGCAGCUCCUCAUUCAACAACAGCAACAACAACACAACCUCAACACUCAACAGAACCACACGGCGUAGGUGAGGCUUUUCAUUGCUUUAAGGCCCCCAACACACGGACAGCAGGGGGCGCUACAGUUACUGCGUUGUUCCAGAAGAAGAAAAAGUAAACGAUGCACCAUGAGCUUUAUUGGAACUUCACAAUCUGCA